UCAGCAUCAAAGCAAGCUGCAGCUGUAAACAGUAAUGGGCUGCUUUCUGGAAAAGGUGGAAUUGCUCCGAGACAAGGUCUCUGGCUCCCUGUUAGCCCGAGAGGCAGAGGCGAAGCUGAGCUCCUGCACCCCAGGCGAGAGAUAAAUCACCCCUCUCCCUCUGUCCUCCCACCGCUCCUGAGCUACGUCCUGCCGGGAUUGACACAUCUUCGCUCUUGUCUUUGGGUAGGAAGAACAGGCUGUAAUUCAAUCAAAUCAUCACACACAGAAAAAUGCUUUAAGCCAGAAUUUAAACCCCAUCUGUCUGCUUCCCCGGGAGUGCACAGCCCUGCAGCAGCACCAGGCCCUUGCUGAGGCUGCGGAGACUGUCUGGACGUUUCCACGCUUCCCUUGAACCGGGCCAUCACCGACUGAGCCUUCCUUUCCCGCCUGACUGCCUCCUCCCCACGUCUAGAGAGGCAGAGAAGGCCG
rnacentral:lncRNA from 1 species